GUUUAUUCUUUGUCCAUGUGAUGGACACCAUGGACACACGCACCACUUUGAUGUUGCGGACGCGUUCGAGGAAUCUUGUUUGGCGUCAUUCAAUCUGCAUCGUGUCUUUGAAGUUGCGCAGAUUCGCAUACGUCGAUGAACAAACUCGCGAAGGUGUCAUUUGAGGCGUAUGUGACGAGUGCGGGCGUGAUAGCCGCGUGGAACGUCGAACGCAAACAAUGGACACGAACGACGACAUGUGUGCAUGGACCGUCAAGUACCAAGCUUCGUAGGUUCCUUGUCUUCGGCAUUCCAGCAGCACCAUUCACUCGUAUCUGUACAAGGCGGACUGCAUUCCUGUCGUCAAUGCACCUAUGUGUCCAAGGACAGAAGAAACAUGAAAAGACACCUAUGCAAACACACGGGCAAGCGUCCCAGUGCCACCUGUGUCCAGCUGCAUUCUCUCAGAACGCUCAUCUUAAAGGGCACAUUCGCACCCACACAGGAAAUCGGCCCUUUUCCUGUCACCGCUGCAGUGCAUCUUUUUUGGUCAAAAGUAGCCUCGUGGACCACAUGUUCACUCACACAGGAGAGUGUCCCUUUUCCUGUGACCACUGCAGUGCAUCUUUUUCAGUGAAAGUGAACCUUAUUAGCCACAUGCACACCCACACAAGAGAGCGCCCCUUUGCCUGUAACCAUUGCAAUGCAUCAUUUUUAGUGAAUAUGCCUUGUGAGGCAUAUUCGCAUCCACGCAGGAGAGCGUCCCUUUUUUUUGUGUCCACUGCAAUGUAUCCUUUUCGAGGCAAGGCUAGCUCAAAGACUGCAUUUUCUGUUGUCAUUUGACGAAAAAACCCUAAAGGUGCAGCCAAUGCGUUUGCCUCUUCCCACAUCGCCCUCCAACAGUUCAGCAGCUUCAAACAUUGCAAGCAGAUUCCCACUAGCCCUCCACUCUCUACCUGCUCAAUUUCAAUGAAAGCUGCAGUCGGCACCAGAGCCAAAUCUAUAUCCAGAGUUUCUACAACCUGCGUGGCACAUCCUGCCUUGAUAUAAGCAUGAUGCAACAGACAUUCCUACCACUAUGUACAUACAUACAAACAGUAGCCCCAGUCACAGCCAUGUUCGCAGUCAUGGUCUCCACCUUCAGUGUUUGCAGCAUUGUAUCGCUUAAAUUGUGUACUUUAAUAAAGAGCAUAUCAGUGGGGAGUUUAAGGGAGCGUCCAAAAUUUUCUCUUUGAACUGCAUUACCAUGAAAUUUCUCUCAUGUAUAAGGACAUCUCUAAAUCAGUGUACUUCUGCCAGGAUUCAAGUAAAUCUACUCAGCUAGGGAACAUGGGCAUGUUUGUUGUUUGCUGUGGCUGAAGCCAUACGGAACUUAGCCGGCACAUCAAGGACUUUCUGUAUUCCAUAUUCGUUUAUUUAUUUAUUUCCCUAUUGUUUUUUUCACUCCCACACAUAUU
rnacentral:lncRNA from 1 species